rfam:Micromonospora humi strain DSM 45647 genome assembly, contig: Ga0070213_112
AGGGGCAUAGCUCAACUGGUAGAGCACCGGUCUCCAAAACCGAAGAUUGCAGGUUCGAGUCCUGUCGCCCCUG